UACGUAGGGCGCAAGCGUUGUCCGGAUUUACUGGGCGUAAAGGGCUCGUAGGUGGCCAACUAAGUCAGACGUGAAAUCCCCAGGCUCAACUUGGGAACUGCGUCUGAUACUGGAUGGCUUGAAUUCGGGAGAGGGAUGCAGAAUUCCAGGUGUAGCGGUGAAAUGCGUAGAUAUCUGGAGGAAUACCGGUGGCGAAGGCGGCAUCCUGGACCGAGAUUGACACUGAUGAGCGAAAGCUAGGGGAGCAAACGGG
rnacentral:rRNA from 1 species